rnacentral:rRNA from 1 species
GCGCAGCAGGCGCGAAACCUUCGCAAUGCGGGAAACCGCGACGAGGGGACUCCCAGUGCCUACGCUCAGCGUAGGCUGUUCCCGAGCCUAGAAAGCUCGGGGAGUAAGGGCUGGGUAAGACGGGUGCCAGCCGCCGCGGUAAUACCCGCAGCCCGAGUGGUGGCCACUAUUAUUGGGCCUAAAGCGUCCGUAGCCGGCCCGGUAAAUGCCUGGGUAAAUCGUGAGGCCUAACCUCACGAAUUCCGGGUAGACUGCCGGGCUAGGGACCGGAGGAGGGAGAGGGUACUCCAGGGGUAGGGGUGAAAUCCUGUAAUCCCUGGAGGACCACCGGUGGCGAAGGCGCUCUCCUAGGACGGGUCCGACGGUGAGGGACGAAAGCCAGGGGAGCGAACCGGAUUAGAUACCCCCGUAGU